AUACGGAGGAUCCGAGCGUUAUCCGGAUUUAUUGGGUUUAAAGGGUGCGCAGGCGGCCAUUUAAGUCAGCGGUUAAAUCGUGGGGCUCAACCCCAUUCUGCCGUUGAUACUGGGUGGCUUGAUUGCGGUCGAGGUUGGCGGAAUUCGUUGUGUAGCGGUGAAAUGCAUAGAUAUGACGAAGAACACCGAUUGCGUAGGCAGCUGACCAGACCGCAAAUGACGCUCAUGCACGAAAGUGCGGGGAUCGAACAGGAUUAGAUACCCUGGUAGUCCGCACAGUAAACGAUGAAUACUUGUUUUCGGCGAUAUAAUGUCGGAGGCAAAGCGAAAGCGAUAAGUCAUCCACCUGGGGAGUACGACCGCAAGGUUGAAACUCAAAGGAAUUGACGGGG
rnacentral:rRNA from 1 species